rnacentral:tRNA from 1 species
CUCGGUAGCUUAGUUGGUAAAGCGCUCGCCUAGUAUACAAGAGUCCUUGGUUCGAAUCCAACCGAG